CCUACGGGACGCAGCAGUGAGGAAUAUUGGUCAAUGGACGCAAGUCUGAACCAGCCAUGCCGCGUGCAGGAAGACGGCUCUAUGAGUUGUAAACUGCGUUUGUACGAGGGUAAACGCAGAUACGCGUAUCUGUCUGAAAGUAUCGUACGAAUAAGGAUCGGCUAACUCCGUGCCAGCAGCCGCGGUAAUACGGAGGAUGCGAGCGUUAUCCGGAUUUAUUGGGUUUAAAGGGUGCGUAGGCGGUCCGGAAAGUCAGCGGUAAAAGCCCGGGGCUCAACCCCGGCGAGCCGUUGAAACUGUCGGAC
rnacentral:rRNA from 1 species